AUUGAACGCUGGCGGCAUGCCUUACACAUGCAAGUCGAACGGCAGCACGGGUGCUUGCACCUGGUGGCGAGUGGCGAACGGGUGAGUAAUACAUCGGAACAUGUCCUGUAGUGGGGGAUAGCCCGGCGAAAGCCGGAUUAAUACCGCAUACGAUCCAUGGAUGAAAGCGGGGGACCUUCGGGCCUCGCGCUAUAGGGUUGGCCGAUGGCUGAUUAGCUAGUUGGUGGGGUAAAGGCCUACCAAGGCGACGAUCAGUAGCUGGUCUGAGAGGACGACCAGCCACACUGGGACUGAGACACGGCCCAGACUCCUACGGGAGGCAGCAGUGGGGAAUUUUGGACAAUGGGCGAAAGCCUGAUCCAGCAAUGCCGCGUGUGUGAAGAAGGCCUUCGGGUUGUAAAGCACUUUUGUCCGGAAAGAAAUCCUUGGCUCUAAUACAGUCGGGGGAUGACRRUACCGGAAGAAUAAGCACCGGCUA
rnacentral:rRNA from 1 species